rnacentral:rRNA from 1 species
CCCAGACUCCUACGGGAGGCAGCAGUCGGGAAUAUUGCGCAGUGGAGGAAACUCUGACGCAGUGACGCCGCGUAUAGGAAGAAGGUUUUCGGAUUGUAAACUAUUGUCGUUAGGGAAGAUACAAGACAGUACCUAAGGAGGAAGCCCCGGCUAACUAUGUGCCAGCAGCCGCGGUAAUACAUAGGGGGCAAGCGUUAUCCGGAUUUAUUGGGUGUAAAGGGUGCGUAGACGGAGAAACAAGUUGGUUGUGAAAUCCCUCGGCUCAACUGAGGAACUGCAACCAAAGCUAUUUCCCUUGAGUGUCGGAGAGGAAAGUGGAAUUCCUAGUGUAGCGGUGAAAUGCGUAGAUAUUAGGAGGAACACCAGUGGCGAAGGCGACUUUCUGGACGAUAACUGACGUUGAGGCACGAAAGUGUGGGGAGCAAACAGGAUUAGAUACCCUAGUA